rnacentral:rRNA from 1 species
AAUCAACGCUGGCGGCGUGCCUCAGACAUGCAAGUCGAACGCGAAAGUCUCCUUCGGGGGACAAGUAGAGUGGCGCACGGGUGAGUAACACGUAGGUAAUCUACCUUCGGAUGGGGAAUAACAACCGGAAACGGUUGCUAAUACCGCAUAAUGCAGCGGCACCUAAUGGUGACAGUUGUUAAANCGGGGGAUCGAAAGACCUCGCGUCUGAAGAGGAGCCUGCGGCGGAUUAGCUAGGGUAAGGUAAUGGCUUACCAAGGCUACGAUCCGUAACCGGCCUGAGAGGGCGGUCGGUCACACUGACACUGACAUACGGGUCAGACUCCUACGGGAGGCAGC